UACGAAGGGGGCUAGCGUUGUUCGGAAUUACUGGGCGUAAAGCGCGCGCAGGCGGUCUUCCAAGUCAGUGGUGAAAGCCCGGAGCUCAACUCCGGAACUGCCAUUGAAACUGUUGGACUUGAGUAUGAGAGAGGUGAGUGGAAUUCCCAGUGUAGAGGUGAAAUUCGUAGAUAUUCGCAAGAACACCAGUGGCGAAGGCGGCUCACUGGCCCGAUACUGACGCUGAUGCACGAAAGCGUGGGGAGCAAACAGG
rnacentral:rRNA from 1 species